rnacentral:lncRNA from 1 species
CCCGUUGGGCUGCUCUUUAUCACCAUCCAUGGUCUUUGGGCCACCACCAACUUCUCCAACCUGGUGGCCUCUGGGACCUCACCCACCACCUCCACCAUCUGGAACGAUGAUUGAAACAGUAUGAGUUGACUUAUAAAACACGUUUUGUCUUUUUACUUGUUGAGUGUUUGGAGAAGAUGCAGUGAUGGCACCACAGGGCUUUCAGUCUAUGCAAGUCAGAAUCAACUUCCAUCCCCCUCCAUCUUUUAUGAGACCUAGGACAUGGUGCAACUCCCAUGGGGAAUAUCAGUUGUGUCUCUAUCAUGGAUGCAGAGAAAGACAAGGUAGACACACAAAUGCACCCUGACAAAUAUGUGCUCAUCCAAGGCCACAGAUGUAUUGAAGAAGAAAACACGCAUAUAGAAGAACAGAAGUUCCCUUUGCAAUAACUCAAUCACUUUGACAUAGAGGACCUCCCUUUUACAAUGGG